rnacentral:lncRNA from 1 species
UGCUGCAGCCUAAAGUUGUUGUUGUACCUCCUAGAUUGCACGAGUGAUGCUGGAUCGUGGAAGCAUGGGAGCUGCUGCAUGAAGAAAAGAAUAAAUGGGAUGCAUGUGGAAUGUGGUCUGCUGAAAGAGUGAACGUUGCUGCCCAAGCUACUAAAGCUCACUCCAAUUACUAAUGGACCAAUUACUUGUGGGAUGGAUGCUGGAUGUGUGCAGGCUCGUGAAUUAGCUUGACGUGGUGCAGCCAAAUGCCUUUGCUGAUGCUAGGCUGCUUCUUGCUUCUCACAGGUGCAGCUGGAAGUUGUAGGACAUGGACGUUGCUGGAGUGCGGGCUGGUCUCGAAUGUUGGAUGAGUGUUGCGUCUUUACAAGCCCAAGGUCCGUGAGCUCCUUCUCAAAAGUUGGACAUAUCAAAGCAUGGGCCAACUUCUUCCUUCUCGGUGGUGGACUUGUUUGCUUUCAUAUGCUGGAGGUUCUUCUCCGUGGACCAGGCCGUGAGCUUUGCUUGGACAGCAUGGGCUCUCUUCAUUUGUUGCACCUCCUAAGCUUGAGUGAAUCGGCAACUGCUCCUGGGUGUUACAACUCUUCACAUGGAUGCGUUUGCUGGACUUGAAGGCUUUGUGCAAGCCCUGACAUUCCCAAGCUGGGCCGUGCUGCUUCCAUCACUACAUAUUCUCCAUGAAAAAUAAAAUAUGCAAUGUGUGUAUGGCGCUACAGACCCUAAGGUGUGUCCGUCCCCACCUCAACAGUGUGGGUCCCUUUUUUCAUAUAUGGUGUGGCUGCCCUAUAUUAUUUUUAGACCACCUAAUUCAUUGCUCACGAUGUUUUUUUUUCUUUAGCUGGCCCACACUUCCUAAAAGCCAAAAAUAAUUCUCGUGGACCCAAGAUAAAUUCAGCGUGCACUUGCUAAACCUCCAACGCCAUCAUAAUCAAUGCAUCAACGUCUCCUUUUCUUCGGUGUCAGCUGAAUGUGGCCGUGUGUCCAAAUGAAGGAUGUGUAUGGAACUUUUUAUGCAGUUGGGCCGUUUGCUGUAUGCACUCCUUGGGUGUUGAUUAAGAGAAUGCAUCUGUGAAAUCCUUACUGGACGUGAGAGGUGUGGUGUAGCCCAAUUGCUAACGUGUUUCCUUUCUCCAAGUUGCUGGAUCAUUAUUCACGUGUUGGACGUAAUCUGGGCCGCG